rnacentral:misc_RNA from 1 species
CCAAAAGAUAAUCUUUCAUUCGAAAGAUCUUUUCCUUUGUGCUGGCUUUGACCGUAUGUAAUUUUGGGACUUAAACAUGAUACACCUUACGGUGUAUCGGUCCCAAAAACAAUAUAUCAUCCUUAUAAAAACUUACUGAACUAAACAAUUGAUUUAAUAA